GCAGUUUCUAAAAGAGCUUGAUCUGAGAGAGAAUAAGAUUGGAGACUCAAAGCAGAAGAUCAUUGAUGUGCUACGAGACUCAAACUGUGAACUGAGUAUAGAUACAGAUCCAUCACCAGAAGACCCCAAAAGAGAUCCAUCACCAAAAGCUGAUGAAUGCAGUAUCUCAUAAAGUGAAGUGAUCUUGAGAGGAGAAGUAAACAUCAGCUGAAGAUCCACAGAAGAGCUUCACUACUGUGUCUAUGAGGAGAAAUAAAUGUGUGAUAAAUGUGUAAAUGUGAUCCAUACAGGUGAAGAGACUCAGACUUUACAAUCAAAUAAUGCAGCAUGUGUGUUAGAAACAUGAUAUUGAAUGAUUAAUGUUGCUUUAGUAUUCAAGCAGAUGAUCAUUGUGUUAAAUGUAAAGCUGGAACAGAGGAGGAAGAAGCUCAGAUGAGUCUGUCUGGCUCUUCAGUUUAAUAAUAUUUCUAUUAAACUCAUUCAUAAUGAUUCAGAUGUUUAAAUGUGAUUGUCAAGUGCAGCACUUAAAUGUGUCAAAAGAUAUAAAGCAAAUCUACACUGUGUGAAACUUAUCUCAUGUUUUCUACACAUUAUUAUUCUAUUUUACUUUAUAUUUAGUUGUGUGUCUGUUGUUAAUGUACAUAUAUCCAGUAUAUAGUCUCUCCUUCAUCAAAUCAACUAAACAUUUUCACAAGUUAACAGCAUUUGUGUCUUUCACUCUCCUCUAAAUACUCAAACACAUUUAGUCUUUUUAACACUUUUAUAUUUUCAUGUAAAUAAAAUGCCACAUACAGUUAAAAACAA